AUUGAACGCUGGCGGCAUGCCUUACACAUGCAAGUCGAACGGUAACAGGUCUUCGGAUGCUGACGAGUGGCGAACGGGUGAGUAAUACAUCGGAACGUGCCUAGUAGUGGGGGAUAACUACUCGAAAGAGUGGCUAAUACCGCACGAGAUCUACGGAUGAACGCAGGGGAGCGCAAGACCUUGUGCUAAUAGAGCGGCCGAUGGCAGAUUAGGUAGUUGGUGGGAUAAAAGCUUACCAAGACGACGAUCAUUAGCUGGUCUGAGAGGACGAUCAGCCACACUGGGACUGAGACACGGCCCAGACUCCUACGGGAGGCAGCAGUGGGGAAUUUUGGACAAUGGGCGCAAGCCUGAUCCAGCAAUGCCGCGUGCAGGAUGAAGGCCUUCGGGUUGUAAACUGCUUUUGUACGGAACGAAAAGCCCUGGGUUAAUACCCUGGGGUCAUGACGGUACCGUAAGAAUAAGCACCGGCUAACUACGUGCCAGCCGCCGCAGUAAAAC
rnacentral:rRNA from 1 species